rnacentral:rRNA from 1 species
UACAAGUACCCGUGAGGGAAAGUUGCAAAGAACUUUGAAGAGAGAGUUCAAGAGGACGUGAAACCGUUUAGAAGGAAACGGGUAGAGCUGCGAGUGGCUCGGGCGAUUCAAACAGUAGUCACGCGUGCGAUCCUUUGUUAGGCCACAUUUGUGGCAAGUCUGCAUUGGUGGUGUGCCGUGAUCUGCUUGUUGCAUUUCGUCCGAGUAGCACCGAGCGGUCGUGUCUGUGUCAACCGUGCGCUAUAGUUGCCGGUGCCGGCCCCGGGUUGGUAACCGCCUAUGGCCCAUAUAACGGUGUGUAUGCGGCACGAUUAGUUGCGAACGCCAAGUGCGUGCGAUUAAUGUCGACGGGCGAUGCACAUAUGUCGGUUAACGUGCUUGCACGGAUGCUGGUGUGUGUCGUUCGUUCGCGUUCGUCCACUUUUAGUUUGCACACGCGGGUGAACAAGUCAGCCACCUACCUGACCCGUCUUGAAACACGGACCAAGGAGUCUAACAUGUGCGCAAGUCGUAGGGUUUUUGAAACCUGAAGGCGAAAUGAAAGUAAAGCGUAGCGACACAGGACUCGGUUGGCUUUGCUCAAUCGAAGCACUGUGGCCCCGUUCCGACUGCUUUGUCAGUGGAGCGGAGGUAGAGCGUACACGUUGGGACCCGAAAGAUGGUGAACUAUGCCUGAGCAGGGCGAAGUCAGAGGAAACUCUGGUGGAGGCUCGAAACGAUUCUGACGUGCAAAUCGAUCGUCAGACUUGGGUAUA